GAAAGCCUGACGGAGCAAUACCGCGUGAGGGAGGAAGGCUCUUGGGUCGUAAACCUCUUUUAUCAGGGAAGAAACMAAUGACGGUACCUGAUGAAUCAGCAUCGGCUAACUCCGUGCCAGCAGCCGCGGUAAUACGGAGGAUGCAAGCGUUAUCCGGAAUUAUUGGGCGUAAAGCGUCCGCAGGUGGUUUUGAAAGUUUGCUGUCAAAGCGCGGAGCUUAACUUCGUACCGGCAGUGAAAACUACGAGACUAGAGUUUGGUAGGGGUCACGGGAAUUCCCAGUGUAGCGGUGAAAUGCGUAGAGAUUGGGAAGAACACCAGCGGCGAAA
rnacentral:rRNA from 1 species